rnacentral:lncRNA from 1 species
GAGAUUUUAGAGGAAGAAUGCAGUGACAUGAGACCAGAAUGAUGUGAGGUGAUGACAUCAACAUCAGAAUGCUGUUGCUAAGACAUCAGCAAUCCUGGAGAGCCAUAAGCUUCACCCCUAUCUCAGAAGCUUGGAGGAUUUCACAUGACCACAGCUUAAUUGCCAGGAAACUCCAGCACCUCCUAGAACGUCUUUUGUGGAAUGGCACUUCACCGGGGCCCUUGGAUCACGUGCCACAUGUAUUCAAC